GUAUGUGAUCGUCUCUCGCAUAUCAAUAAGCGGAGGAAAAGAAACUAACAAGGAUUCCCCUAGUAACGGCGAGUGAAGCGGGAAGAGCUCAAAUUUGAAAUCUUAAAGGGUUUCCCUUUACGAAUUGUAGUUUAAAGAAGUGUUUUCUGUUGAGGUUUUGGUAAAAGUUCUUUGGAAUAGGACAUCAUAGAGGGUGAGAAUCCCGUAUUUGACCUUUACUUUCAACUUUGUGAUACACUUUCAAAGAGUCGGAUUGUUUGGGAAUGCAGUCCAAAAUGGGUGGUAAAUUUCAUCUAAAGCUAAAUAUUGGCGAGAGACCGAUAGCGAACAAGUACCGUGAGGGAAAGAUGAAAAGAACUUUGAAAAGAGAGUUAAACAGUACGUGAAAUUGUCAAAAGGGAAGCGUUUGACACCAGUGUUGUUUUUCUGAAAAUCAAUUAAAGAACUGUUUAUGCUAAGCUGUUUAGACUUUAUCAGCUAUCUGUUUAGUUUUGAGCUUUUCUUUAAUGCACUUUUCAGUUAACAAGUCAACAUCAAUUUCUUUUGCUGUAAAAAAGCUUGAGGAAGGUGGCUUGAGAUUCGUCUUAAGUGUUUAUAGCCUCUUGCCUAUGCAGUCGGAGAGAUUGAGGUCUGCAGCGUCAGAUCCUUCGGGGCUAAAUGCAUUUGUGCUAAGUUAUAGCAUUUUAUAGACAACUUGUUGACUAUGAUUUGUCUUGUAGCUUACUCGCUUAUGUUAUUUUACCUACGCUUAGGAUGUUGAUAUGCAUGACUGAUAU
rnacentral:rRNA from 1 species